rnacentral:rRNA from 1 species
UACGUAGGGUGCAAGCGUUAAUCGGAAUUACUGGGCGUAAAGCGUGCGCAGGCGGUUGAGCAAGCCAGAUGUGAAAUCCCCGGGCUUAACCUGGGAACUGCAUUUGGAACUGCUCGGCUAGAGUACGUCAGAGGGGGGUGGAAUUCCACGUGUAGCAGUGAAAUGCGUAGAGAUGUGGAGGAACACCGAUGGCGAAGGAAACCCCCGGGGACUGUAAUGACGCUCAUGCACGAAAGCGUGGGGAGCAAACAGG